AACGCAGAGACGGCUGUACAGGUGUUUCCUCUCCAGAUGAAGGUGUGGACUCUGCCAUGAGUCAGUGUGAGGACAGAGAGGAGGAAGUCCCUCCC